GCACAAGCGGUGGAUGAUGUGGUUUAAUUCGAUGCAACGCGAAAACCUUACCUACCUUGACAUGUCUGGAAUCCCGAAGAGAUUUGGGAGUGCUCGCAAGAGAACCGGAACACAGGUGCUGCAUGGCUGUCGUCAGCUCGUGUCGUGAGAUGUUGGGUUAAGUCCCGCAACGAGCGCAACCCUUGUCAUUAGUUGCUACGAAAGGGCACUCUAAUGAGACUGCCGGUGACAAACCGGAGGAAGGUGGGGAUGACGUCAAGUCCUCAUGGCCCUUAUGGGUAGGGCUUCACACGUCAUACAAUGGUCGGGACAGAGGGUUGCCAACCCGCGAGGGGGAGCUAAUCCCAUAAACCCGAUCGUAGUCCGGAUUGCAGUCUGCAACUCGACUGCAUGAAGUCGGAAUCGCUAGUAAUCGCGGAUCAGCAUGUCGCGGUCGAAUACGUUCCCGGGUCUU
rnacentral:rRNA from 1 species